UGGGGAAUUGUUCGCAAUGGGCGCAAGCCUGACGACGCAACGCCGCGUGGAGGAUGAAGGUCUUCGGAUUGUAAACUCCUGUCGAACGGGACGAACACCUUUUGGGAUAACACCCUGAAAGGCUGCCGGUACCGUGAGAGGAAGCCCCGGCUAACUAUGUGCCCGCAGCCGCGGUAAUACAGAGGGGGCAAGCGUUGUUCGGAAUUACUGGGCGUAAAGGGCGCGUAGGCGGCCUCCUAAGUCAGACGUGAAAUCCCUCGGCUCAACCGGGGAACUGCGUCUGAUACUGGAUGGCUUGAAUCCGGGAGAGGGAUGCGGAAUUCCAGGUGUAGCGGUGAAAUGCGUAGAUAUCUGGAGGAACACCGGUGGCGAAGGCGGCAUCCUGGACCGGCAUUGACGCUGAGGAGCGAAAGCCAGGGGAGCAAA
rnacentral:rRNA from 1 species